GACGAACGCUGGCGGCGCGCUUAACACAUGCAAGUCGAACGGAAAGGCCUGCUUUCCCUUGUGGAUUGCGGGUACUCGAGUGGCGAACGGGUGAGUAACACGUGAGUGAUCUGCCCCCAACUUGGGUAUAAGCCUGGGAAACUGGGUCUAAUUCCCGAUAGGACUGCAGGGUGGUGCCUGUGGUGGAAAACGAUUUUCUAGUGGUUGGGGAUGAGCUCGCGGCCUAUCAGCUUGUUGGUGGGGUAAUGGCCUACCAAGGCGGCGACGGGUAGCCGGCCUGGGAGGGUGGACGGCCACAUUGGGACUGAGAUACGGCCCAGACUCCUACGGGAGGCAGCAGUGGGGAAUAUUGCACAAUGGGCGGAAGCCUGAUGCAGCGACGCCGCGUGGGGGAUGACGGCCUUCGGGUUGUAAACUCCUUUCGACCGCGAGGAAGCCGCCUGGUUGGAAGGGUGGUGACGGUAGUGGUAGAAGAAGCACCGGCUAACUACGUG
rnacentral:rRNA from 1 species